CGUGUAGGUGGUACUGUAAGUAGGGCGUGAAAGCUCCUGGCUCAACUGGGAGAGGCCGUUCUAAACUACAGAACUAGAGGAUGGUAGAGGGAGGUGGAAUUCCAGGUGUAGCGGUGGAAUGCGCAGAUAUCUGGAGGAACACCGGUGGCGAAGGCGGCCUCCUGGACCAUUCCUGACACUCAGACGCGAAAGCUAGGGUAGCAAACGG
rnacentral:rRNA from 1 species